AGUGACAAGAAAUAACAAUACAGGACUUUAACAGUUUUGUAAUUGGAAUGAGUUGAGUAUAAACCCCUUUACAAGUAUCAAUUGGAGGGCAAGUCUGGUGCCAGCAGCCGCGGUAAUUCCAGCUCCAAUAGCGUAUAUUAAAGUUGUUGCAGUUAAAAAGCUCGUAGUUGGAUUUCUGUUAAUAAUUUAUAUAUAAUAUUUAACAUAUUUAUAUAAUAUUAACAUAAUUCAUAUUACUAUUUAUAGUAUAUGAAACUUUACUUUGAGAAAAUUAGAGUGCUUAAAGCAGG
rnacentral:rRNA from 1 species